rnacentral:rRNA from 1 species
AUGCAAGUCGAACGAUGAGGCCCCUACGGGGGUACAUCAGUGGCAGACGGGUGAGUAACACGUAGGUAACCUGCCCUCGAGACGGGGAUAACGGCUGGAAACGGUCGCUAAGACCCGAUAUAGUCUGACCUUCGGGAGAAGGUGAGAGGAAAGGCUUCGGUGCUCGGGGAGGGGCCUGCGGCCCAUCAGCUAGUUGGAGAGGUAACGGCUCCCCAAGGCAAUGACGGGUAGGGGGUGUGAGAGCAUGGCCCCCCACACUGGGACUGAGACACGGNCCAGACUCCUACGGGAGGCAGCAGCAGGGAAUAUUGCGCAAUGGACGGAAGUCUGACGCAGCGACGCCGCGUGGAUGACGAAGGCCUUCGGGUUGUAAAAUCCUUUUCCGGGCGAUGAGGAAGGACACUAGCCUGGGAAUAAGCGUCGGCUAACUACGUGCCAGCAGCCGCGGUAAGACGUAGGACGCGAGCGUUAUCCGGAUUUACUGGGCGUAAAGCGCCUGCAGGCGGUCAGGUAAGUCGGUUGUGAAAGCCCCGUGCUCAAACGCGGGGAGGCCAAGCGAUACUGCGUGACUUGAGGGCGGAAGAGGGGAGUGGAAUUCCCGGUGUAGCGGUAAAAUGCGCAGAUAUCGGGAGGAACACCAGUGGCGAAGGCGGCUCCCUGGACCGCACCUGACGCUCAGAGGCGAAAGCUAGGGGAGCGAACAGGAUUAGAGACCCUGGUAGUCCUAGCCCUAAACGCUGGAUGCUAGGUGUAGGGCUGAUGAGGCUCUGUGCCGGAGCGAACGCGAUAAGCAUCCCGCCUGGGAACUACGGCCGCAAGGCUAAAACUCAAACGAAUUGACGGGGACCCGCACAAGCAGCGGAGCGUGUGGUUUAAUUCGAUGCUACACGAAGCACCUCACCUGGGUACGACAUGUUGGUGGUACCGAACCGAAAGGGGAGGCACCCUUCGGGGAGCCAACACAGGUGCUGCAUGGCUGUCGACAGCUCGCGCCGUGAGGUGUCGGGUUAAGUCCCGUAACGAGCGCAACCCUUGCUCUUAGUUAUACGUGUCUAAGGGGACUGCCGGCGACAAGCCGGAGGAAGGUGGGGAUGACGUCAAGUCAGCAUGGCCUUGAUAUCCAGGGCUACACACACGCUACAAUGGCCGGUACAAAGGGCAGCCAACCCGCGAGGUGGAGCGAAUCACAGCAAAGCCGGUCCCAGUUCGGAUUGCAGCAGGCAACCAGCCUGCAUGAAGUUGGAGUUGCUAGUAUCCGUUGAUCACACAUAAUACGGUGAAUACGUACCCGGGUCUUGUACACACCGCCCGUCACGUCAUGGGAGUGGCAACGCCUGACAGCGGUAGCCUAACCGAAAGGAAGGCGCCGACUAAGG